AUUUUAUGCUCCAUUGAUUUUUGUAUUUCUUCAUAUUGAUAUUUUUUUUCGUUUCGGUUUAGGUUUAACAUUUUCAUCGUCCUCUUUAAUUUGUCUCUUCUUUCUGAUGACCUAAUUGUACUUAUUUCCUCAGGACAAGAAUCACUUUCUACAUAACGUUCUUUUUCUUCCUUUUUCUCUUCUUCUGUUUUAGUCUUCUUUAUUGUUUUCUUCCUCUUUUCUUGACUACUCUCUUUGUUUUCUUUCAAUUUCUUUUUCUCUUCUUUCCUUUCAUGUGUUUCUUUGUGUCUUUUGAUCUGGUCACUCCUUCUAAAUUCCUUCCCACAAAUUUCACAUUCAUAAACCGUCCCAGUCCCGUGUUGAUAUUUAAUAUGUCUCUUUAGAUAAUACUCUAAACUAAACUGUAAACCACAUUCCUGACAUGUGUAUGUCUUAUCUUUGGUGUGUGUUUUUAUAUGUACAUUGAGUACACAUGAAUGAGCGAACGUUUUAUUACAAAUAUCACACUUAUAUGGGCGUGCUCCUGUGUGUAUGACCUUGUGAUUUUGAAGGGAUCUUUGAUUGACAAACGUUUUAUGACAAACAUCGCACUCUUCUAUUCCCUCACCCGUAUGAAUGUUUUCAUGAUAAUUUAAAUAACUUUCCGUUACAAAUCUUUUCCCACAGACCUGACACUCAAAAUCCUUGGCACUUUCGUCAUGACUUUUAGCAUGUGUUUU
rnacentral:lncRNA from 1 species